rnacentral:rRNA from 1 species
AUACGGAGGAUGCAAGCGUUAUCCGGAUUUAUUGGGUUUAAAGGGUGCGUAGGCGGAUGAUUAAGCGUGAGGUGAAAUGCCACUGCUCAACAGUGGAACUGCCUCGCGAACUGGUUGUCUUGAAUGCUCCUGCCGUGGGAGGAAUGUGUGGUGUAGCGGUGAAAUGCAUAGAGAUCACACAGAACACCGAUUGCGAAGGCAUCUCACGAAGGGGUGAUUGACGCUCAGGCACGAAGGCGUGGGGAUCAAACAGGAUUAGAUACCCUGGUAGUCCACGCAGUAAACGAUGAUUACUAGCUGUUUGCGAUACAAUGUAAGCGGCUGAGCGAAAGCGUUAAGUAAUCCACCUGGGGAGUACGUUCGCAAGAAUGAAACUCAAAUGAAUUGGCGGGG